UUUAUCCAACUUCAUAGAGAUCAGGACAAUGUACUUGCCUUUGCGACUUCUCUCAACUCUCUGAGAGCUGGGUUUGACUGUAACCGGCUAAGAGCGCUGCUCAACGCUCCAACGGGUGGACUCGGUCCGUCCAAAGUGGCAGUAGGUAACGAGACUUGCUUGUUGUCGUUAAGAAUGACAAUCAUAUCCGAGUCUAGAUAACCAGCGUUGUUCAUGGCUUCAUAAGCUUGCCCUGCAGUCAUAGCACCGUCACCGAUCACAGCAACCACAUUGUUGUUCUUCCCUUUCAAAUCCCUUCCUACUGCCAUUCCUGUAAAGUGGAAAGCCAAAGUUUAUGAUUCAGUUUUGUUUUCUUGUUACCACAAGGACACACCAAAUGGAUUUUUUCUUGGCUUACCUAAGCCAGCAGAUAUUGUGGUUGAGCUAUGUCCUGUCCCAAAGCAAUCAUGUUCGCUCUCUCCACGCUUAGUAAAACCGGAGAGGCCAUUGGUUUGCCUCAUUGUAGGCAUCUUGUCUCUUCUCCCGGUGAGAAUCUUGUGAGGAUAAGACUGAUGACCAACAUCCCAAAGAAUCUUGUCCUGUGGAGUGUUGAAAAUGUAGUGAAGAGCCACAGUGAGCUCCACAACACCGAGGCUUGACCCCAAAUGUCCACCAGUUUUUGAGACGUUGAAGAUCACAUCUGAUCUCAGCUCAUCAGAGAGUUGUUUCAGCUCCUGCCAAUGAGUUAAACCAAAUACAAAUCAACAAGAAGCUAUAGGUCAAAGGCUUGAUGGUGAUUCAGUUUUUUUUCUUUAUUACCUUGAUGGAAAGAUUUUUCAUGUGGAUUGGGUAAUUGAUUGUGUCAAGUAAUGGAGUUGGUGGUCUGUUUGAAUAGUAUUCACCCUUCUCUGCAAGUGAAGCAUUCACUUUUGCCUUUCUGUUGGACUGUACAACGCAACACACAUCACAAAAACAACAACAACAUUAGAACAAAAAGCUGUCAUUUUCUCCAGAACUUUUACUCAUUGGUCCAAUUUCAAUAAACUAACAUACAAAAAGGGUCUGAUUUGUUUGACUUCUGUCAAAAAAUGAAGUAAACCCAUUACUUAAUUCUAGAUUUUACCAAAUGGGUUACCACCAAAUCUCAAAAAGAACACAAAUCUACAGUUGAUCUGAAGUGAAUCUUACAUGACUGGUGUUUGGCCUCAGACAUGGUGAUGGAAGAUCUGCAGAAAAAGAUCGAGAAGAAGACAGAGAAGAUGAUUUACAACAAGAAUCUGUUAAACCUCCUUUGGUUGUUAUGUAAGAAGGAAAAGCAAAUGCAGAUAGAGCCAUUAAAGGGAGGAAAGAAGAAGACUUGACAAAAGAUUUGUCAGAAACAAAGAGAAACAAAGGUUAUCAAGAACAGUGAAAAAUCAAUACUUUAGAAGGUGGUGGUGACAGUGGUGGAAGGUUGAAGAAGAAAAGAUGGACACUUUUUGUAAUGGGUGAUGAAAUAAAACGACAAAAAGGCCAAUUUCUUGGAUUAUGGAUUUUGAUAUGUAACGGUGUUUUAAUAUAUCAACAGAGAGAAAAAAAAAAGGUCAGAAGAUAUUGAGAUGGUGCGUGAUCCGCAGAGAAAUUGAGAUUUUGGUUGGGCCACGUCACCCAAAAAAUCCAGGUUUUGGAUAGAUAUUGAUAUAUACUGCCUAUUUUGCUUUGUGUUUUCUUUUUUUUUAUUAUAUGGCUUUUAAGAGAAAUGUAAAAUGAGAAUUUUUUAGAACUAUAUAAAAUGAUAGUUGCUUUCAUUCAUUGAAUGUUUUAUAACAACCAAUGUACCAAGGUGAGAAAGAUGUAGAAGUUUAUAACAAAAUAGGAACCUCUUUUAAAAUAAAUAUGCUGAUAAAGAAAAAAAUCGUAACUACUUAACACUAACACAAAUGUUUCGACUAAGCUAUGGUUCAUAUAUAUAUAUAUAUAUGUAUAUAGGAGUUUGUAGUUUCGUAUUUAAAAUUAUUAAGUAAUAACACAAAUUUGUUUAAUAUUAGCUUAGAUAAUAUCUAUACUAAUAAAGUAAAAUAAACUAUCUUUCGUUAAGGUAUCUAAACAAGUAAUGCACCAAAAAUUUGACACUUAAUCAAAAAAUUAAAUUUAUAAAUUUGACACUUAAUCAAAAAAUUAAAUUUAUAAUUAUCUUUCAUAUUUCUUAUUUUUAAUUAUUUAUCACAACUAAAAGUUUUAAAUUUUUUUCUAAUCAUAUAUAUUUUCAACUCAACCAAAUUUCUAACAUCAGUUUACCAUAAAAUAUUUAAUUUAAUCUAAAUACCGCUGAGCCAUACCCCAACAACGCAACCCUCUCUCCUUCUUUUAAGAUCCUACCUUUCCCAACCUCAAAAGGAACACCUUUGUUUCCAGGAGGCAACGCAACGCCAAUACCGUUACCUCUAGGAUAACGGAAACAAGAAGGACGGUCAUCAAUAGCAGCAGCGGUUGCAACGAUGUUAAAAAGCUCAGCUUCAUCAGAUGGGGCCAUCACUAUCAUGUUAGGAAGACACGCCAUGAACGUCACAUCAAAUGCUCCACAAUGUGUUGGACCAUCAGCUCCCACUAGUCCAGCUCUAUCCAUCGCAAAUCUCACCGGUAACUUCUGCAAAUCCACAUCAUGUACAACCUACAGAGAAAGGCAUCACCACUUCAUACUCUAUUAGCCUUUAAAAAAAAUGAAUGCUGUUGAAACUUGCCUGGUCAUAAGCACGCUGCAUGAAAGAAGAAUAGAUUGCACAGAAAGGCUUAAGGCCUUCACACGCUAAACCAGCAGCAAAAGUAACUGCGUGCUGUUCCGCUAUCCCGACAUCGAAACAUCUUGUAGGAAAGCGACGUUGGAAGAGAUUCAACCCUGUCCCACCUCCCAUGGCUGCAUGAAUCGCAACCACGUCUUUGUCUCCCUCUGCUUCCGCCACUAACGCCUCCGCAAAGUACGUUGUGUAAGACUGAGUCUUGUUAGUACUUUUGAACUGUUUACCAGUUGCAGGAUCAAAUUUCACAACACCUGAAAGACAAAGAAUCAAUAUAAAUGUCACACUUGCUUAAGAUAUAACGAUAAAUAAGUCAAUUUUACCAUGGUAUUUGUCAUCAGCUCUCUCAGCGUAAGGAUAACCACGACCUUUCUCAGUUAUGACAUGGAUAAGAACCGGUCCUGUGGUUCUUGCGCUCUUGACUUCUUUAAGAAUGGCUACCAAAUCAUCUAUGUUGUGUCCAUCAACUGGACCAAUAUAGUAGAGACCGAGUUCUUCAAACAGCGUUGAUCCAGUUCCGCUUAUCAUCCCUCUAGCGUAUUCAUCUACCUUAGCAGCUAACUGAUGCAUUGGCCCACCUAUUUGCUUUGUCACACCCUAUAACACAAACAACAAACAACACAAGCUAAAAUCGUUUAUCCAACUUCAUAGAGAUCAGGACAAUGUACUUGCCUUUGCGACUUCUCUCAACUCUCUGAGAGCUGGGUUUGACUGUAACCGGCUAAGAGCGCUGCUCAACGCUCCAACGGGUGGACUCGGUCCGUCCAAAGUGGCAGUAGGUAACGAGACUUGCUUGUUGUCGUUAAGAAUGACAAUCAUAUCCGAGUCUAGAUAACCAGCGUUGUUCAUGGCUUCAUAAGCUUGCCCUGCAGUCAUAGCACCGUCACCGAUCACAGCAACCACAUUGUUGUUCUUCCCUUUCAAAUCCC
rnacentral:lncRNA from 1 species